UACGUAGGGUGCAAGCGUUGUCCGGAAUUAUUGGGCGUAAAGAGCUUGUAGGCGGUUUGUCGCGUCUGCUGUGAAAUUUCGGGGCUCAACCCCGAACUUGCAGUGGGUACGGGCAGACUAGAGUGUGGUAGGGGAGAUCGGAAUUCCUGGGUGUAGCGGUGAAAUGCGCAGAUAUCAGGAAGAACACCCGUGGCUAAGGCGGCUCUCUAGUACGGUACUGACGCUGAGACGCGAAAGCGUGGGGAGCGAACAGG
rnacentral:rRNA from 1 species